rnacentral:rRNA from 1 species
AGACCCGAAACCCGGUGAUCUAGCCAUGGGCAGGUUGAAGGUUGGGUAACACUAACUGGAGGACCGAACCGACUAAUGUUGAAAAAUUAGCGGAUGACCUGUGGCUGGGGGUGAAAGGCCAAUCAAACCGGGAGAUAGCUGGUUCUCCCCGAAAGCUAUUUAGGUAGCGCCUCGUGAAUUCAUCUCCGGGGGUAGAGCACUGUUUCGGCUAGGGGGCCAUCCCGGCUUACCAACCCGAUGCAAACUGCGAAUACCGGAGAAUGUUAUCACGGGAGACACACGGCGGGUGCUAACGUCCGUCGUGAAGAGGGAAACAACCCAGACCGCCAGCUAAGGUCCCAAAGUCAUGGUUAAGUGGGAAACGAUGUGGGAAGGCCCAGACAGCCAGGAUGUUGGCUUAGAAGCAGCCAUCAUUUAAAGAAAGCGUAAUAGCUCACUGGUCGAGUCGGCCUGCGCGGAAGAUGUAACGGGGCUAAACCAUGCACCGAAGCUGCGGCAGCGAACGUAUCACUUAAAGCGAUUCAGCGGGUUACGAUUGACGGAGCGAAGCGACGUCAAAGCGUAUACAAAGUCGAGUCGGUUUAAGGAUACGUUCGUUGGGUAGGGGAGCGUUCUGUAAGCCUGUGAAGGUGUGUCGUGAGGCAUGCUGGAGGUAUCAGAAGUGCGAAUGCUGACAUAA